rnacentral:rRNA from 1 species
AUCCCCUACAACUAGCCCAACCCCUCAAAACCAACAAACCAAAUUCAUACCCCCCAACAAAGACCUAAAUAUUCUACUAAAACAUUCUUCCCCCCUAGUACGUGAGACAGAAAAGGAACCCCAAGGCGCCAUAGAUAAAGUACCGCAAGGGAAAUCUGAAAGAGAGCUGAAAAAGCCCAGUUAAGGACUAAAAAGCAGAGAUUCAACCUCGUACCUUUUGCAUCAUGAUUUAGCAAGCAAGACUCAAGCAAAGUGACCUUUAUGUUUGAGCCCCCGAAACUAAGCGAGCUACUCCAAGACAGCCUUUUUAGGGCGAACCCGUCUCUGUGGCAAAAGAGUGGGAAGAACUUUGAGUAGAGGUGACAGACCUACCGAGCUUAGUUAUAGCUGGUUGCCUGAGAACUGAAUAUGAGUUCAACCUUUUGAGAUACUAACUCCAACAAAAUAGAAUACUUUCCCCAGGAUUAAAGUAACCAAAAGAUAUAGUCAAGAGAGGAACAGCUCUCUUGAAAAAAAGAAACAACUUUUAAAGAAGGUUAAAGAUCAAAAUGUCCAAGGCCACGCACCCGAGUGGGCCUGAAAGCAGCCACCUCUAAAGAAAGCGUCAAAGCUCAAGUGCAAGCCUCCCCCUUUAAUUCCGAUUAACACAUCUCAAACCCCUUAAAUAUAUCAGGCCGCUCCAUGCAGUACAUGGAAGAGAUAAUGCUAAUAUGAGUAAUCAGAGGGCCAGACCCUCUCAAACACAGCCUUGUAAAUCAGAACGAACCCACACUGAAAAUUAACGUCCCCAAUAACAGAGGGUAUUGAGACAAGUAACUAAACAAUCAAGAAAUGUCCUCAACCACAAACGUUACCCCUACACAGGCCUGCUAUACGAAAGACAAAAAGAGGGAGAAGGAACUCGGCAAACACUAGCCUCGCCUGUUUACCAAAAACACCGCCUCUUGCUUAAUCCAGUAUAAGAGGUCCCGCCUGCCCUGUGACGGAAGUUUAACGGCCGCGGUAUCUUGACCGUGCGAAGGUAGCGCAAUCAAUUGUUUUUUAAAUGGAGACCUGUAUGAAUGGCAUAACGAGGGCUAAACUGUCUCCUUUCUCUUGUCAAUGAAAUUGAUCUUCCCGUGCAGAAGCGGGAAUACACCCAUAAGACGAGAAGACCCUAUGGAGCUUUAGACACCAAGGCACUCUGCACAACCCUGCCCCCACUCGCUCAGGAUCAAGCUGACCACUGCCCCUAUGUCUUUGGUUGGGGCGACCACGGAGAAAUAACUAACCCCCGAGAGGAAAGGGAAACCCCCUAUGUUAGAACCACUAUUCUCGCAAUCAGAAAAUCUGACCUAAAUGAUCCGGCUUACACCGAUCAACGGACCUAGUUACCCUAGGGAUAACAGCGCAAUCCACUCCGAGAGCCCAUAUCGACGAGGGGGUUUACGACCUCGAUGUUGGAUCAGGACAUCCUAUUGGUGCAGCCGCUAUUAAGGGUUC